CUCAGGACGAACGCUGGCGGCGUGCCUAACACAUGCAAGUCGAACGGAGRUGUACCGGUGAAGUUUUCGGACGGAACUGGUGCAUUCUUAGUGGCGGACGGGUGAGUAACGCGUGGAUAACCUGCCUAUCAGACCGGGAUAACUCCGGGAAACCGGGGCUAAUACCGGAUACGAACUUAGGUGCGCAUGCACCGGAGUUGAAAAGGGAUUACCGCUGAUAGAUGGGUCCGCGUCCCAUUAGCUAGUUGGUGGGGUAAAGGCCUACCAAGGCGACGAUGGGUAGCCGGCCUGAGAGGGUGAACGGCCACACUGGGACUGAGACACGGCCCAGACUCCUACGGGAGGCAGCAGUGGGGAAUAUUCCGCAAUGGGCGCAAGCCUGACGGAGCGACGCCGCGUGAGGGAGGAAGGCCUUCGGGUUGUAAACCUCUGUUCUAUGGGAAGAAGGAAGUGACGGUACCAUAGGAGGAAGCCCCGGCUAACUACGUGCCAGCAGCCGCGGUAACACGUAGGGGGCGAGCGUUGUCCGGAAUUACUGGGCGUAAAGGGCGUGUAGGCGGCCAUUUAAGUUAGAGGUGAAAUACCGGGGCUCAACCCCGGGGUUGCCUCUAAGACUGGAUGGCUUGAGUGCAGGAGAGGGAAGUGGAAUUCCUAGUGUAGCGGUGAAAUGCGUAGAUAUUAGGAGGAACACUCGUGGCGAAGGCGGCUUCCUGGCCUGUAACUGACGCUGAGGCGCGAAAGCGUGGGGAGCGAACAGGAUUAGAUACCCUGGUAGUCCACGCCGUAAACGAUGAGUGCUAGGUGUUGGAGGUAUCGACCCCUUCAGUGCCGAAGUUAACGCGCUAAGCACUCCGCCUGGGGAGUACGGUCGCAAGACUGAAACUCAAAGGAAUUGACGGGGGCCCGCACAAGCGGUGGAGCAUGUGGUUUAAUUCGACGCAACGCGAAGAACCUUACCAGGGCUUGACAUCCCCUGACGGCCCUAGAGAUAGGGUGUUCCCUUUAGGGACAGGGAGACAGGUGGUGCAUGGUUGUCGUCAGCUCGUGUCGUGAGAUGUUGGGUUAAGUCCCGCAACGAGCGCAACCCCUACUGCCAGUUGCCAGCACGUAGUGGUGGGGACUCUGGCGGAACUGCCGUUGAGAAGACGGAGGAAGGUGGGGAUGACGUCAAAUCAUCAUGCCCCUUAUGUCCUGGGCUACACACGUGCUACAAUGGCCUGUACAGAGGGAAGCGAAGCCGCGAGGCGGAGCGAAACUCAAAAAGCAGGUCGUAGUUCGGAUUGCAGGCUGCAACUCGCCUGCAUGAAGUCGGAAUCGCUAGUAAUCGCAGGUCAGCAUACUGCGGUGAAUACGUUCCCGGGCCUUGUACACACCGCCCGUCACACCACGAAAGUCGACAACACCCGAAGCCGGUGGGCUAACCGAGAGGAGGCAGCCGUCGAAG
rnacentral:rRNA from 1 species